rnacentral:rRNA from 1 species
GGGGAAUAUUGGACAAUGGGGGAAACCCUGAUCCAGCGACGCCGCGUGAGUGAAGAAGUAUUUCGGUAUGUAAAGCUCUAUCAGCAGGGAAGAAAAUGACGGUACCUGACUAAGAAGCCCCGGCUAACUACGUGCCAGCAGCCGCGGUAAUACGUAGGGGGCAAGCGUUAUCCGGAUUUACUGGGUGUAAAGGGAGCGUAGACGGCUCUGCAAGUCUGGAGUGAAAGCCCGGGGCUCAACCCCGGGACUGCUUUGGAAACUGUGGAGCUGGAGUGCAGGAGAGGUAAGUGGAAUUCCUAGUGUAGCGGUGAAAUGCGUAGAUAUUAGGAGGAACACCAGUGGCGAAGGCGGCUUACUGGACUGUAACUGACGUUGAGGCUCGAAAGCGUGGGGAGCAAAC